rnacentral:rRNA from 1 species
UACGUAGGGUCCGAGCGUUGUCCGGAAUUGCUGGGCGUAAAGAGCUCGUAGGUGGUUUGUCGCGUUGUUCGUGAAAACUCACAGAUCAACUGUGGGCGUGCGGGCGAUACGGGCAGACUAGAGUACUGCAGGGGAGACUGGAAUUCCUGGUGUAGCGGUGGAAUGCGCAGAUAUCAGGAGGAACACCGGUGGCGAAGGCGGGUCUCUGGGCAGUAACUGACGCUGAGGAGCGAAAGCGUGGGGAGCGAACAGG